rnacentral:ncRNA from 1 species
GUGAACAUGUUGAGAGGAACUAGUAGCAAGACGUUCUAUCUUUAGAGAGCCGAUGGUUGGUGAAAAUCGGUGAUAGAUGCCUGUGAAUCCAUCCUUGAAUGAAUUGUUGAACAACUUCUAGUUAAAGUAGACAAUUCCGGUGAUGACCGUUAUUCAUUAAGGUGAAAAAUACUAUGUAUUUUUAACUAGGGUGGCAACGCGGGUAACUCUCGUCCCUUUU